UACGUAGGGGGCAAGCGUUGUCCGGAUUUAUUGGGCGUAAAGAGCGUGUAGGCGGCCAGGUAGGUCCGCUGUGAAAACUCGAGGCUCAACCUCGAGAUGUCGGCGGAAACCAUCUGGCUAGAGUCCGGAAGAGGAGAGUGGAAUUCCUGGUGUAGCGGUGAAAUGCGCAGAUAUCAGGAAGAACACCAAUGGCGAAAGCAGCUCUCUGGGACGGUACUGACGCUGAGACGCGAAAGCGUGGGGAGCGAACAGG
rnacentral:rRNA from 1 species